UUUUUAAUUUUUUAAAAAAAUAGAUAAAAAAUAAUAAUAAGAACCCCAAAUAGGGUUUUAGGGUUAAUGGUGCUUUAAGAGCCCCACUAACAACCCCCAAUAAUGGUGGCCUUAUAAUUUGUUUUGCAUUUUUAUAUAUUUUCAGGGUCUCCUAAAUCCUAAUACUAUUUUCGUUUUGUUGUUCUAAUUUCCUAAGGCAGAGAACAUAAAAAUAAUAGAGAAAUUAGGCUGCGUAUGCACCGCAGAAAACGAAAUUAGAGAAAUGCCCAAACAUAUGCACCGCAGAAAACGAAAUUAGAGAAAUGCCCAAACACUGGUCACGGCACUGUGGGCUUUUAAAUAUUCCAUCUUUGCCCC
rnacentral:lncRNA from 1 species